AGCGAACGUUAGCGGCGGGCCUAACACAUGCAAGUCGAACGCGAAAGGUCUUCGGACUGAGUAGAGUGGCGCACGGGUGAGUAACACGUAGGUAAUCUACCCUUUGGCGGGGGAUAACGUUCCGAAAGGAGCGCUAAUACCGCAUAAGACCACGGAGUCUCCGGACGCUGUGGGAAAAGGUGGCCUCUUCUUGAAAGCUACCACCGAAGGAUGAGCCUGCGUCCCAUCAGCUAGUUGGUAAGGUAAUGGCUUACCAAGGCGAAGACGGGUAGCUGGUUUGAGAGAAUGAUCAGCCACACUGGCACUGGAACACGGGCCAGACUCCUACGGGAGGCAGCAGUGAGGAAUAUUGGGCAAUGGGGGAAACCCUGAUCCAGCUACGCCGCGUGGGUGAUG
rnacentral:rRNA from 1 species